rnacentral:lncRNA from 1 species
GAGGAAGUGGGUGUGAGGUUUCCUCAGGAGAGACACAGCGUUCAGAAAGGUCCUUGAAUGCCCCUAGGGAGAAUGGCACUGUCCUAGCUUUAUGGGAGUUAAAGCUUUCAACCUAUGGGUGCUUUCAGUCUCCUAAGGCCAAUACAACUGAGAGACAACAGACACAGCAAAAGGCCUAGCAGCAGCCGCAGGUCUACUUACUUGAUCGUGGCUUCCUGAAGAGCCUGUCCAUGCCUGGGGGAGGGGGCUGCCUCAUGGUAACCCCUACAACCUGACCCCGAUAGGUCAAACCCAGCAGUCCAUCUGAAAAUGCCAGACACAUCUGGCUGCGCUGUCACUUCCAUGGGGAAGGGAGUGGAGGCUCCAGAAGAGUCAAGAGCUGCCAUUUCUGAACUAACACCCAUAAAGGCAGCUUGGAGCAUGGAACUCCCAUGCCACCUAACACUGAAAGUUAGGCCAAGCCACAGCUAAAGUGAGUCUGUUUACUCGUGAGGCCUGACCUCCUCCAGCAUCAGUCACUCCGUGCUCCUUCUCCUGGGAAGGACUAGGUGAAAAGCAGGAAGAUCUUUACCUCACUUACUCAUGGGUGAUGCUUAGCGAAUACAGCUGAGGGCACGUGUCCCCUGUAGCUUCUGUUCCCAUUACACCUCUGUCCCAUCGAAUCCGCCCCAGAGAGGGACAUGAUCUUCUAGCCACCUUCUCUGCCACUCCUUUUUGGUUUUUUUGUUUUUUAAAUUAUGAACACAGCCAUCAGUCUCUAAGUCUCCUGUGCACCAGGGCUGUGGUUAGCAUGAUCGCAGACUUAGGAUGUUCUCAUUCCUCACAGUGGCUCAGAGACCCGUCAGACACUCCUCCUUGGCUCUUGUUCCCUGCUCAUGCCAGGAUCAAGGGGGUGAAGUCUGCUCCCUACGCUGAUACAGAUAACAUACAGCAGCCUUGGCGUCAUGCACUGUGG